rnacentral:rRNA from 1 species
CUCGUAGGCGGCUUGUCGCGUCGACUGUGAAAACCCACAGCUCAACUGUGGGCUUGCAGCCGAUACGGGCAGGCUAGAGUUCGGUAGGGGAGACUGGAAUUCCUGGUGUAGCGGUGAAAUGCGCAGAUAUCAGGAGGAACACCGGUGGCGAAGGCGGGUCUCUGGGCCGAUACUGACGCUGAGGAGCGAAAGCGGUGGGGAGCGAACA